rnacentral:rRNA from 1 species
CGGGAUGACGGCCUUCGGGUUGUAAACCGCUUUUGAUUGGGAGCAAGCGAGAGUGAGUGUACCUUUCGAAUAAGCACCGGCUAACUACGUGCCAGCAGCCGCGGUAAUACGUAGGGUGCAAGCGUUAUCCGGAAUUAUUGGGCGUAAAGAGCUCGUAGGCGGUUCGUCGCGUCUGGUGUGAAAGUCCAUCGCUUAACGGUGGAUCUGCGCCGGGUACGGGCGGACUGGAGUGCGGUAGGGGAGACUGGAAUUCCCGGUGUAACGGUGGAAUGUGUAGAUAUCGGGAAGAACACCAAUGGCGAAGGCAGGUCUCUGGGCCGUUACUGACGCUGAGGAGCGAAAGCGUGGGGAGCGAACAGGAUUAGAUACCCUGGUAGUCCACGCCGUAAACGGUGGAUGCUGGAUGUGGGGCCCGUUCCACGGGUUCCGUGUCGGAGCUAACGCGUUAAGCAUCCCGCCUGGGGAGUACGGCCGCAAGGCUAAAACUCAAAGAAAUUGACGGGGGCCCGCACAAGCGGCGGAGCAUGCGGAUUAAUUCGAUGCAACGCGAAGAACCUUACCUGGGCUUGACAUGUGCCGGACGACCGCGGAGACGUGGUUUCCCUUCGGGGCCGGUUCACAGGUGGUGCAUGGUCGUCGUCAGCUCGUGUCGUGAGAUGUUGGGUCAAGUCCCGCAACGAGCGCAACCCUCGCCUCGUGUUGCCAGCGGGUCAUGCCGGGAACUCACGGGGGACCGCCGGGGUUAACCCGGAGGAAGGUGGGGAUGACGUCAGAUCAUCAUGCCCCUUACGUCCAGGGCUUCACGCAUGCUACAAUGGCCGGUACAACGGGAUGCGACAUGGCGACAUGGAGCGGAUCCCUUAAAACCGGUCUCAGUUCGGAUCGGAGCCUGCAACCCGGCUCCGUGAAGGCGGAGUCGCUAGUAAUCGCGGAUCAGCAACGCCGCGGUGAAUGCGUUCCCGGGCCUUGUACACACCGCCCGUCAAGUCAU